rnacentral:lncRNA from 1 species
GUGAAGGAGAUGUCGGUGUGGCCGUCGAUGGAGAUGGAGUUGUCAUCGUAGAAGGCGAUGAGCUUGCCGAGUCCCCAGUGGGCGGCGAGGGAGGCGCCCUCACCGGACAUACCCUCCAUGUUGCAGCCGUCGCCCAUGAUGGCGUAGGUGUAGUGGUCGACGAUCUCACAGUCGGGCUUGUUGAAGCGGCCCGCGAGGUGCUUCUCGGCCAUCGCGAGGCCGACGGCGUUGCAGAUGCCCAUACCGAGGGGACCGGUGGUGACCUCAAUGCCGUUGGUGAUGAAGUUCUCGGGGUGACCGGGGGUGACGGAGUCCCACUGGCGGAAGUUCUUGAGGUCGUCGUUCUGUCGCGGAGAGGGGGAGGGGCGGGGAUGGUCAGCCGAUGUAAGGGGCGCAGGCGUAAAUUGACAAAAACUCUUGCAGUCCCGAAGCGAAAUGACCGGGAGGAUUUUUAUCCCCUUCGCCAGGAUUUCCGCUGUCGGAGCCGGGCAAGUUGGGCGGGGGCGACGGACGGGGCGCUCGUCCGAAGGCCGUUAUGGCGUGGGAUACCACCCAUCGUUCAGAUGUGCCCGAGUCUCCCCGGGUCUGACGCUCGCGUCACCCGCACGCUCCGGAUAAACCCCGACGUGUCGAAAAGCCCUGAGGCCGAUCUUCCCGCUAAACAAAGGGAUAAAUACCGAUUGGUUUUGCCGGGCGAAUGUGCGCGCCCGAUCGGGUACGCGGCGCGGGUUCGGCAGAAAGAAAGGGUUCGAUGACUCACCGAGACGGAGGGGUAGCCGGUGAGGUGCAUGAGGGAGUACUGGAGCAUGCAGCCGUGGCCCGCGGAGAGCACGAAGCGGUCGCGGUUGAACCACUGGUAGUUCUUGGGGUUGUGCGUCAUGGCCUCGCGGUAAAUCACGUAGCCCAUGGGCGCGCAGCCCAUGGGAAGACCGGGGUGGCCGGAGUUGGACUUGUUGAUAGCGUCGAUCGCAAGGAAGCGAAUGGUGUUGACGCAGUCCAUGACGGUCUCGGAGGAGACAUCCGCGGGCGCGGCGACGGCCUGAGCGCGGGUCACCGGCUUGACAGCGCGGGUGGUGACCUUGGCGGAGACCUUCCUCGCGGCGGCCUUGUUGAGGCGCUGACCGGCGAAGGAG